rnacentral:rRNA from 1 species
UACGUAGGGUGCGAGCGUUAAUCGGAAUUACUGGGCGUAAAGCGUGCGCAGGCGGCUUUGCAAGACAGAUGUAAAAUCCCCGGGCUCAACCUGGGAACUGCAUUUGUGACUGCAAGGCUAGAGUACGGCAGAGGGGGAUGGAAUUCCGCGUGUAGCAGUGAAAUGCGUAGAUAUGCGGAGGAACACCAAUGGCGAAGGCAAUCCCCUGGGCCUGUACUGACGCUCAUGCACGAAAACGUGGGGAGCAAACAGG